rnacentral:lncRNA from 1 species
GGCUAUGGUUAGUGAAUGAAUCUAUUGCUUCACCUUAUGGCUCCAAUAAUACCUUUUCAGAGUUUAUCUAACUUGCUUCACCUUAUGGUUGCAAAGUGUGCUACUUUUGUUGGAACUGUCACCUACAUGUCACCAGAGCGGAUUAGGAAUGAUGGUUAUUCUUAUCCAGCUGAUAUAUGGAGCCUUGGUCUUGCUCUUUUUGAAUGUGGCACUGGAGAGUUUCCAUAUAUAGCUAAUGAAGGUCCUGUUAAUCUUAUGUUGCAGGUGAGAUCAACUUGGCCAUUUUUUGUUUUGUUGUCAUGUACUAUUUUCAAUCUACACUAAAUUUUAUGUCCUUUUUGUGUUAUGUGGUUGUAAGAUCUUGGAUGAUCCAUCACCAACACCAUCAAAACAAGAAUUCUCACCAGAGUUCUGUUCCUUCAUUGAUGCUUGCCUCCAGAAAGAUGCAGAUGCUAGACCAACUGCUGAUCAGGUUCAAAGAUUGUUGCUUUUCUUUGUUUUUUUGUCUGUUUCAACUUAAGAUUUGUUAAAAUCUCUUUGUAUUCAACUCUGAUGGUGUUUCCUCUGUUUCUUGAGUAGCUUCUGUCACAUCCUUUUAUUACAAAACAUGAGAAGGAAAGUGUAGAUCUGGCUGCUUUUGUCCGAAGCAUCUUUGAUCCAACUCAAAGACUGAAAGAUAUAGCAGAUGUAAGUAUGAUGGUUUGCUUAGUCAGUAAACUGCAAAAUUAAAAUUAAGACAUUAAUGAUCUUGAUGGGUCUCUGUUCAGAUGCUCACCAUACAUUAUUACUCCCUCUUUGAUGGAUAUGAUGAUCUUUGGCACCACGCUAGAUCUCUGUACACUGAAACUUCUGUUUUCAGGUAACCAAAACUCUCACAAUUUCAAACACACAGCAUAUGAUUUUCGGUUUACUAUUCGGUUUGGUUUGUUUUCUUGGUUAAGGUUUGUUGUUUUUUUCCUGCAGUUUCUCUGGAAAACAAUACACAGGCUCUACAGAAAUCUUGUCACAAUUAUCAAACAUUCGCAACACAUUAGCAGGAGAUUUGCCAAGUGAGAAACUCGUUCAUGUCGUUGAGAAGCUUCAAUGCAAGCCACAUGGCGUUGGUGGGAUUGCUUCACCUUAUGGCUCCAAUAAUACCUUUUCAGAGUUUAUCUAACUUGCUUCACCUUAUGGUUGCAAAGUGUGCUACUUUUGUUGGAACUGUCACCUACAUGUCACCAGAGCGGAUUAGGAAUGAUGGUUAUUCUUAUCCAGCUGAUAUAUGGAGCCUUGGUCUUGCUCUUUUUGAAUGUGGCACUGGAGAGUUUCCAUAUAUAGCUAAUGAAGGUCCUGUUAAUCUUAUGUU